UACGGGGGGGGCAAGCGUUGUUCGGAAUUACUGGGCGUAAAGGGCUCGUAGGUGGCCAACUAAGUCGGACGUGAAAUCCCUCAGCUUAACUGGGGAACUGCGUCCGAUACUGGAUGGCUUGAGUUUGGGAGAGGGAUGCGGAAUUCCAGGUGUAGCGGUGAAAUGCGUAGAUAUCUGGAGGAACACCGGUGGCGAAGGCGGCAUCCUGGACCGAUAUUGACACUGAGGCACGAAAGCGUGGGGAUCAAACAGG
rnacentral:rRNA from 1 species